UACGUAGGGGGCUAGCGUUGUCCGGAAUCAUUGGGCGUAAAGAGCGUGUAGGCGGUCCGGUCGGUCGGCUGUGAAAGUCCAGGGCUCAACCCUGGGAUGCCGGUCGAUACUGCCGGACUAGAGUUCGGAAGAGGCGAGUGGAAUUCCCGGUGUAGCGGUGAAAUGCGCAGAUAUCGGGAGGAACACCUAUGGCGAAGGCAGCUCGCUGGGACGUUACUGACGCUGAGACGCGAAAGCGUGGGGAGCAAACAGG
rnacentral:rRNA from 1 species